AGCAGAGUGGCUUAGUUGAAAAAAGCAUGGUCCUGGAAGUCAGAGGACCUGGGUUCUAAUCCCAGAUCUGCCA
rnacentral:tRNA from 1 species